UACCCCUUCCCCCGGACCUCUCUGUGAUUCCGCUUUGCCUGCUGCCAGCCAGCCGUCCGUCCUUACGUCCGUCCGUCCACCGUUUGGAUCUAUGGUUGUGUCGGUGGAUUUCGUGACGUUAACCUGGCGGCCCUGAAAACGUUGGACUGACCGUACGAUUUCGACUACCCUUCGUCGGGGCGCGAAUGUAAAACGCGAGUGUUUUUUAAUCACCGUGCCCGCCGUUUAGGAAUACCCACGGAGUAGUUCGGAAAACACUGCCGGGCUGAUGCCGUUGCUGCUAUCGCCGCCACUACCGAGACACACGGGAAUGAAGCAGUACACCGAGAUGGAACGUUUGAACGCUCGAAAGUAAAUCGCGUAACGGUGUGAAGAGGAAGCCGUAAACGUAGCUGGGAUCUGUCCGCGACGAACGUUGGUCACUGGACAUCGUGUGGUUCGGAACGAGAUGCAGAAAAGAAAAGGAAGUGUUGCAGUGAAAACCGGCGGAAGCAACAGCUGUGAAUAGCAUUAAUAACUUUGAGAGAAGAGGAAGAAGCAGAAGAAGAAGAGAAGGAAGGAGAAGAAGGAGGAGGAGGAGAAGAAGAAAUAAAAGAAGAAGAACGUUGUUUCGGACCAUCGCUACCGUGCGACGGCUGAGCUGAGUGUGCGUGCGAGUAUCUCCGCGGACGGGUGUAUACGUAAAAACAUACAGUGUAUUUCUCGUUCUGCCAUCUUGAAAGUCAUCCAAUUUCUUUCUCCUGGUGGCGCUGGCACACGUGCGCGGGAAACGUGCACAGUGCGUGCAUCGUACACGCACUGUGCUACAAUUACGUCCGAGGGAACCUCUCCUCGCGGUUCAGGUGGAAUCGCGAAAUAACGGUUCAACGAGGGGUGCAAUAGGACCGUGAUGAAAACAAGCCUGCGGACGAGCUCGCAUCGUGACAGCAGCGAUAGGAGACGUGGCAGCGUCGACGGCAUCGUUGCUGGCGGGAUUCUGGCUAGAAACGAAAAUGACUUUACCGAGAACAAGGAAUCACCGCUGGAUUACAGAUAUAGUCAGCAAGUCGAGUGUGAACCACCACGUGGCAGUGACGAAAUCAUGGAGCGAUCACGUUUUCGCAAGAAGUCGUCCCUGGAACAACAACGGAAGAAAGAAAUUCGAAAGGUCGGUCGUCGAGUGGUGUGUUCGUCGAGUGUGUCACGGUAUACGAGUCGGUGUACAUGAACGCAUGAAAGUGUACGUGUAAAGAGGGGCGAAAGAGAGCGAGAGAGAAAGAGAGCGUGCGUGCGAGAGAGAAAGAGCGAGAGAGAGAGAGAAGAAAGAAAGAGGGAGAAAGAGAGAGAGAAGCAGCGAUUGACGACGACAGGAAGAUAACGAAGUGCGCGCGGAAGAAAGAAAGUGCGAGAGCGGUGAAGUAAGAAGGAAAUGAUAAACAAAAAGAAAGGGAUUUGAAGUCGAGCCAGUGUGGGAAGUAAAGUUCGCCGACGUACAGUAUAAUGUUGUGGAGUAGCGUGUCCCGUAAAAGUUUUUAACGUCGAUAUAGAAUUUAUAAAUAGAUCGGUUGGUGUACCCACGUAUGUGCACGCGUACGUAUGUGUGCGUGAUUACGCGCGCACAUGUACGUGAUUUUCACUCGAGACUGAAGCGGUGAAUUAUUCUUGUGCGGAUCGACCAACUCGUCGGGGAAAUUCGAGAUCCGGCUUACCUUCCGCAGCUGACGUCAUUACCGUACACAAUGCGUUAGGGGUGAUGGAGACAGUGGGCAAGCAAGUCCAGGUAGUGAGCGGACUGGGGGUGGGGGGUCCAGUGGGCCCUGUGGGUCCAGUGGGGGCAGAUUUGCAUCACCAUCAUCAUCCUCACCCCCACUCUCAUCCUCCACACCCACACGCCCACCCCCACGGUCAUACUCACGGGUCCCAUGGCCACUCUCUCGUCGGCGUAACGUCGACCCCCGGUAGGGGUCAGACCCAACCACCGGUCUCGCAUAACCAACAUUUACCCGCGAGAUCCACUCCAGUACAACUGCACAGGUAAGCUUGUAGGUGUGUUCGCUAUCGCACUCGCCAUUGCAUGACUUCUAUGUGUUCCCAACGUUGUAAUUAAAACGGCAACCGUUUUUCCGAAUCCCUCGAGCCGAGAACACGACUGGAGUUCGACCAAUGAACUGGAGUCACGAGGACUCAGUGAAUAUGCUAUUUCGAGGGAUCUUUGUCCAUUUUAGGAAGAGCAAAUGGUUACCGCGUCCUAUUCCUCAUGAAUGGUUGUUUACGAAGUUAAAUGCGAGAGGCGAGCCAAUGAUUCAAGUAAAUAGCCGAUAAAGUGUGUUAGAUAGUUUGACCGAAAUACGGUACUCGUAAUUAAAAAUUUGAAGCAUCAACUUUCAACUGUUAUGGAAAAGUAGGUCAAUCAAAACUUGACUAUAUGUACCGUUGUCUCAUUUAUAUUUUCAUUGUUCCUAGUUGAAUUAUAAAUAAUCUGAUUUGCAUCGGAUUUCUGCAAUUUAUACGCGUAAGUUGAAAUACGCGUGAGCAAAAGAUUGAAGUUGGGUACGUAAUGUAUAUACAGUUUACUGCGCAUGCGUUCUUCCAAUUUUACUACUACUGCUACCUGUCGAUUCUAACCUCAAACGUCAACGUGCAACGUUGAUUUUUAACCUCACAAGGUUUACCUUUUGUAUUUAUAGUCUAUUAAAUAGUACACAUGCACGGUUCUGCAGUACAUCUUAAUAGAAAUAUCGAAGUGAAACUGUGAAUUUUGGAAUACAGCAAUGUAUUGGACGAGCAAAUGGAGAAUGUUCGCGGAAAGGAAAAAUUCCUUUGAAACUCGAGGUUGCCCGCUUGCAUGAUGAACAUACAUCAGAAUGCACACAAUUGCAACAAUUGGUGUACUCUUACACAAAUAAUGUUUCGUGGAUUAGUUUUCGAUCAGCUUCAGGAUUCUUCAAAGCUAAUUGUUUUCCUACAAUUCAUACUUACUCCAAAGCCCAUAACCUUGUACAAAAGGGUUUUUAAGUAUAAACAACUUUCACUAAAAAUUUUGAUUAACCUUAUCUAUCCUUAUUAUAAUUGAGUAAAAGAUUUAUAGUUAGAACUUCUAAUAUUUAACAUAUAAUGAUUAUCAUGAUAGGUGCAGAGCGUGAAUGAAAUAAUUUAUACAACGCGGGAAAAUAAGUUAGGUUAGGUUCGCCGUGAGAAGUGUACAAACGAAAAGAGAAACGAAGCAAUGUCCUAUAUGUAUGUAUAUAUUGAGAUUCUGAUCAUAGUAAAUCCACAAA